CCUACGGGUGGCAGCAGUGAGGAAUAUUGGUCAAUGGUCGGGAGACUGAACCAGCCAAGCCGCGUGAGGGAGGAAGGUACAGCGUAUCGUAAACCUCUUUUGUCAGGGAACAAAGACUGGGACGCGUCCCCGGAUGAGUGUACCUGACGAACAAGCAUCGGCUAACUCCGUGCCAGCAGCCGCGGUAAUCCGGAGGAUGCGAGCGUUAUCCGGAUUUAUUGGGUUAAAAGGGGGCGCAGGCGGUCUGUUAAGUCAGCGGUCAAAGCCCGGGGCUCAACCCCGGCCCGCCGUUGAAACUGGCAGUCUCGAGUUGGAGAGAAGUAUGCGGAAUGCGCGGUGUAGCGGUGAAAUGCAUAGAUAUCGCGCAGAACUCCGAUUGCGAAGGCAGCAUGCCGGAUCCACACUGACGCUGAGGCACGAAAGCGUGGGUAGCGAACAGGAUUAGAUACCCGGGUAGUC
rnacentral:rRNA from 1 species